CCUACGGGAGGCAGCAGUGAGGAAUAUUGGUCAAUGGACGAGAGUCUGAACCAGCCAAGUAGCGUGAAGGAUGACUGCCCUAUGGGUUGUAAACUUCUUUUAUAAAGGAAUAAAACGAGGCACGUGUGCCUUUUUGCAUGUACUUUAUGAAUAAGGAUCGGCUAACUCCGUGCCAGCAGCCGCGGUAAUACGGAGGUUCGGAGCGUUAUCCGGAUUUAUUGGGUUUAAAGGGAGCGUAGAUGGGUUGUUAAGUCAGUUGUGAAAGUUUGCGGCUCAACCGUAAAAUUGCAAUUGAUACUGGCAGUCGUGAGUACAGUUGAGGUAGGCGGAAUUCGUGGUGUAGCGGUGAAAUGCUUAGAUAUCACGAAGAACCCCGAUUGCGAAGGCAGCUUACUAAACUGUGACUGACAUUGAUGCUCGAAAGUGUGGGUAUCAAACAGGAUUAGAUACCCUUGUAGUC
rnacentral:rRNA from 1 species